AAAUUUGUAUUUAGAAAAUUGAUACCAACAUUAAGAAUAAGUUACCACAAUUUGCUAAUAGAAAAGGGACGCUAUCUUAAUGAAUUCGUUUUCAAACAGUUGGUAGAACUGAGGACAGUCAUUAUAAAAUUGAGAAAUAAAGCGGAGAAUGUGUCAAAGAGACAAUUACCCGAUCAAAAUGCAGAAAAAGCCAAGGCCUUCAACACAUUAGAAUAUAUCCUUCACCCGUAGUCGGGCUUGGGCUGCUUCUAAACAAUUAAUUCAAUGAUGUAAACUAGUUCAGCGAAAAUGCUCAUCAAACUAAACUCCGAAACAUAUAAAUGAACCAAAAUUUAAAAAAAAACAUACAAGACUAACAAAGGCCAGACGUUCUUCAAUACAUGGGACAGGCGCAAAAAUGCGACCGGAUGAUACAUGAUUUGUUAGAUCUCAAACCUCCCCCUAUACAUAAAGACAAUGUGGAAUUAUGAAAACAAAGACAUAAAAAUACAUACAGUAAAACGCAGGUCAACAGAAGUCCAUUAACGAUGUUAGAAUAUACUAGUAUAGGUAUGUGCAUGUAAAGAAUGUUGUUUAUUUCUAGUUUGUUAAGUUAAUUGUGUCACAUGCAUAAAUGUAUAUUAUAUGUAAUGACAAUAAAUUCAGAUUUGAAUUUGAAAUAUAUGCUGACAACACAAAAGUUUUAUUUUGUUCCGCAUCCUCAACAAAAC
rnacentral:lncRNA from 1 species